UACAGAGGGUGCGAGCGUUGUCCGGAAUCACUGGGCGUAAAGGGCGCGUAGGCGGCUCGUCUAGCGUGCGGUGAAAGCCCGGGGCUCAACUCCGGGUCGGCCGUGCGAACGGGGGAGCUGGAGUCCGGUAGAGGCCGAUGGAAUUCCGGGUGUAGCGGUGGAAUGCGUAGAGAUCCGGAAGAACACCGGUGGCGAAGGCGGUCGGCUGGGCCGGAACUGACGCUGAGGCGCGACAGCGUGGGGAGCAAAC
rnacentral:rRNA from 1 species